UGAACGCGGGCGGAAUGCUUUACACAUGCAAGUCGAACGGCAGCACGGACUUCGGUCUGGUGGCGAGUGGCGAACGGGUGAGUAAUAUAUCGGAACGUAUCCAAUAAUGGGGGAUAACUAAUCGAAAGGUUGGCUAAUACCGCAUACGCCCUACGGGGGAAAGCUAGGGAUCUUCGGACCUGGCGUUAAUGGAGCGGCCGAUAUCUGAUUAGCUAGUUGGUGGGGUAAAGGCCCACCAAGGCGACGAUCAGUAGCUGGUCUGAGAGGACGACCAGCCACACUGGAACUGAGACACGGUCCAGACUCCUACGGGAGGCAGCAGUGGGGAAUUUUGGACAAUGGGCGCAAGCCUGAUCCAGCCAUUCCGCGUGAGUGAAGAAGGCCUUCGGGUUGUAAAGCUCUUUCGCAAGGGAAGAAAACUUAUCCUCUAACAUAGGAUGAGGUUGACGGUACCUUGAUAAGAAGCACCGGCUAACUACGUGCCAGCAGCCGCGGUAAUACGUAGGGUGCGAGCGUUAAUCGGAAUUACUGGGCGUAAAGCGUGCGCAGGCUGUUUUGUAAGUCAGAUGUGAAAUCCCUGAGCUCAACUUAGGAACUGCGUUUGAAACUACAAGACUAGAAUAUGUCAGAGGGGGGUAGAAUUCCACGUGUAGCAGUGAAAUGCGUAGAGAUGUGGAGGAAUACCAAUGGCGAAGGCAGCCCCCUGGGAUAAUAUUGACGCUCAUGCACGAAAGCGUGGGGAGCAAACAGGAUUAGAUACCCUGGUAGUCCACGCCCUAAACGAUGUCUACUAGUUGUUGGUGGAGUAAAAUCCAUGAGUAACGCAGCUAACGCGUGAAGUAGACCGCCUGGGGAGUACGGUCGCAAGAUUA
rnacentral:rRNA from 1 species